rnacentral:rRNA from 1 species
UACGUAGGGGGCGAGCGUUGUCCGGAGUUACUGGGCGUAAAGGGCAUGCAGGCGGUCCGACACGUUUUGUGUGACAGCGGGUGGCUUAACUACCCGAGGAUGCGAAAGACGGUUGGACUUGAGGACUCGAGAGGGACACGAAAUUCCGGGUGGAGUGGUGAAAUGCGUAGAGAUCCGGAGGAACACCGAAGGCGAAGGCAGUGUCCUGGCGAGUGACUGACGCUGAGGUGCGAAAGCCAGGGGAGCGAACGGG